UCCCAGGCCGUCAUUGAAAAUAAGAAUUUGUUCUUAACUGACUUGCCUAGUUAAAUAAAGGUUAAAAAAAAAAUGUUUUAAAAAAUGUUUAAAUUAGCGGAGACCACAAUUAUGGUAAACACUGCAUUUGUUGACUCAAUCAGGAAGUGACAUGUAAAGGUAGCGUUGUCCAAACUGAAUCCCAGCCUUAGACUGAUGUAGCUAGUAGAGAGGUAGUGUUGUCCAAACUGAAUCCCAGCCUUAGACUGAUGUAGCUAGUAGAGAGGUAGCGUUGUCCAAACUGAAUCCCAGCCUUAGACUGAUGUAGCUAGUAGAGAGGUAGCGUUGUCCAAACUGAAUCCCAGCCUUAGACUGAUGUAGCUAGUAGAGAGGUAGGGAGCAAGGGUCUAGGGAACAUUCUGAUGUAGCUAGUAGAGAGGUAGGGAGCAAGGGUCUAGGGAACAUUCUGAUGUAUCUAGUAGAGAGGUAGGGAGCAAGGGUCUAGGGAACAUUCUGAUGUAUCUAGUAGAGAGGUAGGGAGCAAGGGUCUAGGGAACAUUCUGAUGUAUCUAGUAGAGAGGUAGGGAACAAGGGUCUAGGGAACAUUCUGAUGUAUCUAGUAGAGAGGUAGGGAACAAGGGUCUAGGGAACAUUCUGAUGUAUCUAGUAGAGAGGUAG